AAAUGAAUAGACGGGACCCCGCACAAGCAGUGGAGCGUGUGGUUUAAUUCGACGCAACGCGCAGAACCUUACCAGGGUUUGACAUCAUAGUGCAAGGUCUGGAAACAGGCCCCCUGUAGCAAUACAGCGCUAUGACAGGUGUUGCAUGGUUGUCGUCAGCUCGUGUCGUGAGAUGUUGGGUUAAGUCCCGCAACGAGCGCAACCCCUAUCCAGUGUUGCCAACAGGUAAAGCUGGGGACUCACUGGAGACUGCCGGAGACGAUCCGGAGGAAGGUGGGGAUGAGGUCAAAUCAUCAUGGCCCUUAUGCCCUGGGCUACACACGCGCUACAAUGGCCGGUACAACGGGCAGCUAAGGAGCGAUCCGGAGCGAAUCCCAAAAAGCCGGCCCCAGUUGGGAUUGCAGGCUGAAACUCGCCUGCAUGAACACGGAAUUGCUAGUAAUCGCGAAUCAGCUACGUCGCGGUGAAUACGUUCCCGGGGUUUGUACACACCGCCCGU
rnacentral:rRNA from 1 species